UGAAGAACCAACCUGCCUCCAUCUUGGG
rnacentral:piRNA from 1 species